rnacentral:tRNA from 11 species
UAUGCUGGCGUUUGAACUCUGCACAUCUGACAUGUGAGGCGAGCGUGUUACCACUACUCCACCAGCAC